rnacentral:rRNA from 1 species
CCUACGGGAGGCAGCAGUGAGGAAUAUUGGUCAAUGGACGAGAGUCUGAACCAGCCAAGUAGCGUGAAGGAUGACUGCCCUAUGGGUUGUACACUUCUUUUAUAUGGGAAUAAAAUGUUCCACGUGUGGGAUUUUGUAUGUACCAUAUGAAUAAGGCUCGGCUCACUCCGUGCCAGCAGCCGCGGUAAUACGGAGGAUCCGAGCGUUAUCCGGAUUUAUUGGGUUUAAAGGAAGCGUAGGUGGAUUGUUAAGUCAGUUGUGAAAGUUUGCUGCUCAACCGUAAAAUUGCAGUUGAAACUGGCAGUCUUGAGUACAGGAGAGGUGGGCGGAAUUCGUGGUGUAGCGGUGAAAUGCGUAGAUAUCACGAAGAACUCCGAUUGCGAAGGCAGUUCACUGGACUGCAACUGACACUGAGGCUCGAAAGUGUGGGUAUCAAACAGGAUUAGAUACCCUGGUAGUC